rnacentral:rRNA from 1 species
GACGAACGCUGGCGGCGCGCUUAACACAUGCAAGUCGAACGGAAAGGCCUGCUUUCCCUUGUGGAUUGCAGGUACUCGAGUGGCGAACGGGUGAGUAACACGUGAGUGAUCUGCCCCCAACUUGGGUAUAAGCCUGGGAAACUGGGUCUAAUUCCCGAUAGGACUGCAGGGUGGUGCCUGUGGUGGAAAACGAUUUUCUAGUGGUUGGGGAUGAGCUCGCGGCCUAUCAGCUUGUUGGUGGGGUAAUGGCCUACCAAGGCGGCGACGGGUAGCCGGCCUGGGAGGGUGGACGGGCACAUUGGGACUGAGAUACGGCCCAGACUCCUACGGGAGGCAGCAGUGGGGAAUAUUGCACAAUGGGCGGAAGCCUGAUGCAGCGACGCCGCGUGGGGGAUGACGGCCUUCGGGUUGUAAACUCCUUUCGACCGCGAGGAAGCCACCUGGUUGGAAGGGUGGUGACGGUAGUGGUAGAAGAAGCACCGGCUAACUACGUG